rnacentral:rRNA from 1 species
GGAAUAUUGGUCAAUGGAGGCAACUCUGAACCAGCCAUGCCGCGUGCAGGAAGACGGCCCUAUGGGUUGUAAACUGCUUUUAUCUGGGAAUAAACCUAAUUACGUGUAAUUAGCUGAAUGUACCAGAAGAAUAAGGAUCGGCUAACUCCGUGCCAGCAGCCGCGGUAAUACGGAGGAUCCAAGCGUUAUCCGGAUUUAUUGGGUUUAAAGGGUGCGUAGGCGGCCUGUUAAGUCAGAGGUGAAAGACGGUAGCUCAACUAUCGCAGUGCCUUUGAUACUGACGGGCUUGAAUAAACUAGAGGUAGGCGGAAUGAGACAAGUAGCGGUGAAAUGCAUAGAUAUGUCUCAGAACACCGAUUGCGAAGGCAGCUUACUAUGGUUUUAUUGACGCUGAGGCACGAAAGCGUGGGGAUCAAACAGGAUUAGAUACCCCAG